ACGAACGCUGGCGGCGUGCUUAACACAUGCAAGUCGAACGGAAAGGCCUUUCGGGGUACUCGAGUGGCGAACGGGUGAGUAACACGUGGGUGAUCUGCCCUGCACUUCGGGAUAAGCCUGGGAAACUGGGUCUAAUACCGGAUAUGACUGCGAAUCGCAUGGUUUGUGGUGGAAAGCUUUUGCGGUGUGGGAUGGGCCCGCGGCCUAUCAGCUUGUUGGUGAGGUUAUGGCUUACCAAGGCGACGACGGGUAGCCGGCCUGGGAGGGUGUCCGGCCACACUGGGACUGAGAUACGGCCCAGACUCCUACGGGAGGCAGCAGUGGGGAAUAUUGCACAAUGGGCGCAAGCCUGAUGCAGCGACGCCGCGUGAGGGAUGACGGCCUUCGGGUUGUAAACCUCUUUCAGUAGGGACGAAGCGGAAGUGACGGUACCUACAGAAGAAGCACCGGCCAACUACGU
rnacentral:rRNA from 1 species